UACGUAGGGGGCAAGCGUUGUCCGGAAUCAUUGGGCGUAAAGAGCGUGUAGGCGGCUCGGUAAGUCCGCUGUGAAAGUCCAGGGCUCAACCCUGGAAUGCCGGUGGAAACUGUCGGGCUAGAGUCCGGAAGAGGCGAGUGGAAUUCCUGGUGUAGCGGUGAAAUGCGCAGAUAUCGGGAGGAACACCGGUGGCGAAGGCGGCGACCUGGGUCGAGACUGACGCUGAGGCGCGAAAGCGUGGGGAGCAAACAGG
rnacentral:rRNA from 1 species